rnacentral:rRNA from 1 species
GAGCACGCCGCGUGAGUGAUGAAGGUUUUCGGAUCGUAAAGCUCUGUUGUUAGGGAAGAACAAGUACCGUUCGAAUAGGGCGGUACCUUGACGGUACCUAACCAGAAAGCCACGGCUAACUACGUGCCAGCAGCCGCGGUAAUACGUAGGUGGCAAGCGUUGUCCGGAAUUAUUGGGCGUAAAGGGCUCGCAGGCGGUUUCUUAAGUCUGAUGUGAAAGCCCCCGGCUCAACCGGNGAGGGUCAUUGGAAACUG